rnacentral:rRNA from 1 species
UGCAGUCGAACGGUAACAUUUCUAGCUUGCUAGAAGAUGACGAGUGGCGGACGGGUGAGUAAUGCUUGGGAACUUGCCUUUGCGAGGGGGAUAACAGUUGGAAACGACUGCUAAUACCGCAUAAUGUCUUCGGACCAAACGGGGCUUUUAGCUCCGGCGCAAAGAGAGGCCCAAGUGAGAUUAGCUAGUUGGUAAGGUAACGGCUUACCAAGGCGACGAUCUCUAGCUGUUCUGAGAGGAAGAUCAGCCACACUGGGACUGAGACACGGCCCAGACUCCUACGGGAGGCAGCAGUGGGGAAUAUUGCACAAUGGGGGAAACCCUGAUGCAGCCAUGCCGCGUGUGUGAAGAAGGCCUUCGGGUUGUAAAGCACUUUCAGUUGUGAGGAAAAGUUAGUAGUUAAUACCUGCUAGCCGUGACGUUAACAACAGAAGAAGCACCGGCUAACUCCGUGCCAGCAGCCGCGGUAAUACGGAGGGUGCGAGCGUUAAUCGGAAUUACUGGGCGUAAAGCGCACGCAGGCGGUUUGUUAAGCUAGAUGUGAAAGCCCCGGGCUCAACCUGGGAUGGUCAUUUAGAACUGGCAGACUAGAGUCUUGGAGAGGGGAGUGGAAUUCCAGGUGUAGCGGUGAAAUGCGUAGAUAUCUGGAGGAACAUCAGUGGCGAAGGCGACUCCCUGGCCAAAGACUGACGCUCAUGUGCGAAAGUGUGGGUAGCGAACAGGAUUAGAUACCCUGGUAGUCCACACCGUAAACGCUGUCUACUAGCUGUGUGUGCCUUUAAGGCGUGCGUA